GCCAGGUGUGGUGGCUCACACCUGUAAUCCCAGCCCUUUGGGAGGCUGAGGUGGGAGGAUCACUUGAGUCCAGGAAUUCGAGACCAUCCUGGACAACAUAGUGAGACCUCAUCUCUA
ensembl:misc_RNA Metazoa_SRP Metazoan signal recognition particle RNA